rnacentral:rRNA from 1 species
GACGAACCGUGCAAACGUUAUUCGGAAUCACUGGGCUUAAAGGGCGCGUAGGCGGGCAGUCAAGUCAGGGGUGAAAUCCCACGGCUCAACCGUGGAAGGGCCUUUGAUACUGACUGUCUCGAGGGAGGUAGGGGCGUGCGGAACUUCCGGUGGAGCGGUGAAAUGCGUAGAUAUCGGAAGGAACGCCGGUGGCGAAAGCGGCGCGCUGGACCUCUUCUGACGCUGAGGCGCGAAAGCCAGGGGAGCAAACGGG